AUUGAACGCUGGCGGCAGGCCUAACACAUGCAAGUCGAACGAGUGGCGGACGGGUGAGUAAUGUCUGGGAAACUGCCUGAUGGAGGGGGAUAACUACUGGAAACGGUAGCUAAUACCGCAUACCAUCAGAUGUGCCCAGAGGGGAUUAGCGAGUUGGUGGGGUAACGGCUCACCAAGGCGACGAUCCCCAGCUGGUCUGAGAGGAUGACCAUGCACACGGGAACUGAGACACGGUCCAGACUCCUACGCGAGGCAGCAGUGGGGAAUAUUGAACAAUGGGCGCAAUCCUGAUGCAGCAAUGCCGCGUGUAUGAAGAAGGCCUUCAGGUUGUAAAGUACUUUCAGCGGGGAGGCGUUACCCGCAGAAGAAGCACCGGCUAACUCCGUGCCAGCCGCCGCGGUAAUUC
rnacentral:rRNA from 1 species